rnacentral:rRNA from 1 species
UACGUAGGGUGCAAGCGUUGUCCGGAAUUAUUGGGCGUAAAGAGCUCGUAGGCGGUUUGUCGCGUCUGCUGUGAAAACCCGAGGCUCAACCUCGGGCCUGCAGUGGGUACGGGCAGACUAGAGUGCGGUAGGGGAGAUUGGAAUUCCUGGUGUAGCGGUGGAAUGCGCAGAUAUCAGGAGGAACACCAAUGGCGAAGGCAGAUCUCGGGGCCGUAACUGACGCUGAGGAGCGAAAGCAUGGGGAGCGAACAGG